AUUGAACGCUGGCGGCAGGCUUAACACAUGCAAGUCGAGCGGGGAGAUGUAGCUUGCUACAUAUCCUAGCGGCGGACGGGUGAGUAAUGCUUAGGAAUCUGCCUAUUAGUGGGGGACAACAUUCCGAAAGGAAUGCUAAUACCGCAUACGCCCUACGGGGGAAAGCAGGGGAUCUUCGGACCUUGCGCUAAUAGAUGAGCCUAAGUCGGAUUAGCUAGUUGGUGGGGUAAAGGCCUACCAAGGCGACGAUCUGUAGCGGGUCUGAGAGGAUGAUCCGCCACACUGGGACUGAGACACGGCCCAGACUCCUACGGGAGGCAGCAGUGGGGAAUAUUGGACAAUGGGCGCAAGCCUGAUCCAGCCAUGCCGCGUGUGUGAAGAAGGCCUUUUGGUUGUAAAGCACUUUAAGCGAGGAGGAGGCUCCUUUAGUUAAUACCUAAAGAGAGCGGACGUUACUCGCAGAAUAAGCACCGGCUAACUCUGUG
rnacentral:rRNA from 1 species